UACGUAGGGUGCAAGCGUUGUCCGGAAUUAUUGGGCGUAAAGAGCUCGUAGGCGGUUUGUCGCGUCUGCUGUGAAAACGCGAGGCUCAACCUCGCGCCUGCAGUGGGUACGGGCAGACUAGAGUGCGGUAGGGGAGAUUGGAAUUCCUGGUGUAGCGGUGGAAUGCGCAGAUAUCAGGAGGAACACCGAUGGCGAAGGCAGAUCUCUGGGCCGUAACUGACACUGAGGCACGAAAGCGUGGGGAGCAAACAGG
rnacentral:rRNA from 1 species